CACUCUUCAACUAUCAGAACUGGUAAAUGGGAAUUUAUCAGGAGUAUAACAGAAGAGUCCAGACCUAUUCCUGUGAUGUUGGUGACAAUAUCCAAAUAUCAAAUUGAGUUGGGUAGGCUGGUAGGUGUAAUAACCGAAGGUUUCCCCAAUUU
rnacentral:ncRNA from 1 species